rnacentral:rRNA from 1 species
UACAGAGGUCUCAAGCGUUGUUCGGAUUCAUUGGGCGUAAAGGGUGCGUAGGCGGCGCGGUAAGUCGGGUGUGAAAUCUUGGAGCUUAACUCCGAAACUGCAUUCGAUACUGCCGUGCUUGAGGACUGGAGAGGAGACUGGAAUUUACGGUGUAGCGGUGAAAUGCGCAGAUAUCAGGAGGAACACCGGUGGCGAAGGCGGUUCUCUGGGCAUUACCUGACGCUGAGGAGCGAAAGUGUGGGGAGCGAACAGG